CCUCCUUCUUUCUUCUUUUUCUCUUCUUUCUUUCCUUUCCUUGCUGCGAAACCGGAACCCAUUUCCGGCGAAAUCACCGCCACCGUCCGCACCACCGGCCAUUAGAGGAUCCUCUCUUCCUCCUCUUGCAUCUAAGCUUGUUUUGAUCUAUGGAGGAAGAUUUGAAGGUGUUUGAGCGUGUGAACAGUAACGUGAACAGUAACUGUCGGGUUCUUGGUUUUUGUUUGAUUUCUCCGGCCUUUUCUGCUUGAUUUUGGUUGUUGUUGCAGUUUGCAGGCGAAUGAGUUGAGGUCGGGCGUACACGAAAUUGAGGCAUAGUCAGCAGCAUGGCUUCCGCAUCUGCCUUUGAAUUAGGUUUUCCUCAUAUACCUUUCUGUUAGAAUUGCUCUGAUUACCUAUGGGAUUUAUGUUAUUCAAGUUGAGAUAUGUGUUUUGUGAAUUGGAGAUUGAUGUUGAUUUGGGGAGCAGGGUGGCUCCAGGGGCAUAAGGAUGAUUCGAUUGAGAAGUGUAAAUGUUCCCUACAGGUUUGGGUUGCCCAUUUUAGGGGAAGUUCCGCCAAAUUUUUGGUAGAAUUUCUUCUAAGGUGGGCCCCGCAGGGUCACUUCGGAUUUCAGGGUGAAAUCCGGGGCGGG